rnacentral:lncRNA from 1 species
GUACAUGUAUGUGUAUGUAUGUAUAUACUUAGGGAUACAUUUACAUAUGCAUAUGCAAACAUAUGCACAUAUUGUAAGACACACACACACAAAAAAAAGGAAAGAUGUAAAUUUAGAUUUUCUCUUUUAGAAAUGGAAUUUGUGGGAUAAUGAAUGGAAACCAGUUUCCUAUUAUUAGAUGUUGCACAAAAUUAUUUUACUUGUAAGUCAUGGGAUGAAAUUGCCUAUAAAAGUAGUGUGAAGGGAUUCUUUGGGAGAUUUUUUGUAGUUGUAAUUUCAUAUAUUCCCUCUUUUCCCACAUACAUUGUUGGUAAUCCAGGAUGUAAAAUAUGCACAAUACAGCAUGCCUGUACAUGCCACUCACUGUUUACCCAUCAUGCUGUUACUACAUAUUUUUAGUUAGUAGAUUUCAUUGAUGUAGUUAGGUUAGGUUGUAGUUGGUCAAGGUGUAGAUCUUAUUGUAAUUUUUUGACACAUCUCAUAUACCCAUUAAACAUGCUUUAGGUAGAUGUGAACUUUAUAUUUGAAAUCAGGAUUUUCCAAAGAUGUACCAGAAAGUGUGUAAGUUCUAAAGAUUCAUUUAAAGUUUAUUGAACAUGUAAAAGAGCAUGUGAUAUUUUUGACCCAUCAUUAUGGGAUUCAUGCUGAACAAGCUCAAAACAAUAGAAAACAAGGAAGAACUGGAAAACACAAGAUUAUACAGACCUUUUUGUUGUAUUGCAGUUCGGCAAAAGACCUUUAGCAGAAAGUAAUUUACUCUUGCUGCACUUCAGUGUGAUAUUUAAUUUAUUGUUCAAUUUUAUCUGUCAACAAAAUAGGAACAUUGCCUGAUUUCAGAACUUCCAUAUGAUGCAGAGGUUCCUCUUCUGUUGGACUUUAGAUUCUGUUGAUAGGAUUGUUUGAUGGUUGCAUUGAUUUGCUCAAGAUAUUUAUGUAGCAAUACCUUAUGCAUGGCUCUAAGCUUUUACCUCUUUUUUUUUUUUUUAGAUUGUUGAAAAUUAUUUUAUUUUCAUUUAUGUUUAACCCACUCACAAUGCAUGACAUAUCACAUCAUGGCUUUACUGUCAUUCAAUGCUGGGAUGAUUUCCCAUCACAUUAUCAUGCUUCUCAUAUUUCUCUACAGGGGCUGAUACUGCAGGUUGCCCUGCACGUGCCUCAGUAUAGCGCUGGGAGUUCCUGUUGUAUUUUCUUCUUGUAGUGAUGAAAAUUACCUUUGUCCAUCUGCUAGCAGCAAGAAGGGAUGGAAGUUGGUUGAGUAGCAUUCAUACCCAGUUGAAUAUAAUACCCUUACUUUGACCUUAAUGUGGGCAUAUCCCCCUCUUCUUUUGCUCUCCUGCCCCCUUUUGCAUCUUAUCCUCCUUUUUGAAUGCUGUAAGUCAGUAGGAAGUGUGCGGUUGCAUCAUACCAUCUUGGAUGACGUCAUUGCACAUUGCUUGCAUGGCAAAUCAUCUACGGAUACCCCACCCUCUACCAUAGUGAUUUGUAUUUUCUACAUCCAAGGUAAGAGGUAGAUAGAAAUGUAUGGGAAAGGAGGGAAUGAAUGGGAGACUUGAAAUCUUCCCCCUUGAGACUCCUCAUUAAAAAAG